rnacentral:rRNA from 1 species
AGGCGACGACGGGUAGCCGGCCUGAGAGGGUGACCGGCCACACUGGGACUGAGACACGGCCCAGACUCCUACGGGAGGCAGCAGUGGGGAAUAUUGCACAAUGGGCGAAAGCCUGAUGCAGCGACGCCGCGUGAGGGAUGACGGCCUUCGGGUUGUAAACCUCUUUCAGUAGGGAAGAAGCGAAAGUGACGGUACCUGCAGAAGAAGCGCCGGCUAACUACGUGCCAGCAGCCGCGGUAAUACGUAGGGCGCAAGCGUUAUCCGGAAUUAUUGGGCGUAAAGAGCUCGUAGGCGGUUUGUCGCGUCUAUCGUGAAAGUCCGAGGCUCAACCUCGGAUCUGCGGUGGGUACGGGCAGACUAGAGUGAUGUAGGGGAGACUGGAAUUCCUGGUGUAGCGGUGAAAUGCGCAGAUAUCAGGAGGAACACCGAUGGCGAAGGCAGGUCUCUGGGCAUUAACUGACGCUGAGGAGCGAAAGCAUGGGGAGCGAACAGGAUUAGAUACCCUGGUAGUCCAUGCCGUAAACGUUGGGCACUAGGUGUGGGGGACAUUCCACGUUUUCCGCGCCGUAGCUAACGCAUUAAGUGCCCCGCCUGGGGAGUACGGCCGCAAGGCUAAAACUCAAAGGAAUUGACGGGGGCCCGCACAAGCGGCGGAGCAUGCGGAUUAAUUCGAUGCAACGCGAAGAACCUUACCAAGGCUUGACAUGUGCUAGAUCGCCAUAGAAAUAUGGUUUCCCCUUUUGGGGCUGGUUCACAGGUGGUGCAUGGUUGUCGUCAGCUCGUGUCGUGAGAUGUUGGGUUAAGUCCCGCAACGAGCGCAACCCUCGUUCUAUGUUGCCAGCACGUUAUGGUGGGGACUCAUAGGAGACUGCCGGGGUCAACUCGGAGGAAGGUGGGGACGACGUCAAAUCAUCAUGCCCCUUAUGUCUUGGGCUUCACGCAUGCUACAAUGGCCGGUACAAUGGGUUGCGAUACUGUGAGGUGGAGCUAAUCCCAAAAAGCCGGUCUCAGUUCGGAUUGGGGUCUGCAACUCGACCCCAUGAAGUCGGAGUCGCUAGUAAUCGCAGAUCAGCAACGCUGCGGUGAAUACGUUCCCGGGCCUUGUACACACCGCCCGUCAAGUCACGAAAGUUGGUAACACCCGAAGCC